rnacentral:rRNA from 1 species
CCUGCCCAGUGAGACCACUUUAACGGCCGCGGUAUCCUAACCGUGCAAAGGUAGCAUAAUCACUUGCCUCUUAAAUAGCGGCUUGUAUGAACGGCUAACCGAGGGUGAAACUGUCUCCUAUGGCCAGUCAAUGAAACUGAUCUCCUAGUACAAAAGCUAGGAUACACUCAUAAGACGAGAAGACCCUGUGGAACUUCAAGCACAACUACUGCCCCAUAUUCUCACACUGCCAACAGGCCACUAAAACCAUACAAACAGUACAAGCUUUAAGUUGGGGCAACUACGGAGACAAACUAAACCUCCAUGCUCAAAGACUAAAUAUCUGCCAACCAGGAGGACACUCCAAACCCACCUAUCCGACCCAGUACAACUGAUUACCGAACCAAGCUACCCCAGGGAUAACAGCGCCAUCCUCUUUAAGAGUCCAUAUCGACAAGAGGGCUUACGACCUCGAUGUUGGAUCAGGGCCCCCCAGUGGUGCAGCAGCUACUAAAGGUCCGUUUGUUCAACGGCUAACGCCCU